rnacentral:rRNA from 1 species
UACGUAGGUGGCAAGCGUUGUCCGGAUUUAUUGGGUUUAAAGGGUGCGUAGGCGGUUCCAUAAGUCAGUGGUGAAAUACAAUAGCUUAACUAUUGAGGUGCCAUUGAUACUGCGGAACUUGAGUACAGACGAGGUAGGCGGAAUUGACGGUGUAGCGGUGAAAUGCUUAGAUAUCGUCAAGAACACCGAUAGCGAAGGCAGCUUACUAGACUGUAACUGACGCUGAUGCACGAAAGUGUGGGGAUCAAACAGG